CGUGAGAGAGUUCAGUACUCUGCCAUCUACUAGUUGGUUGUGAAAGACCUGUGAGUACUGAGGAAGCCCAAUGUCACUCAGCCAAGACUUAGACACCCAGUGAUGAUCCAUAUCAGCAGCUUUGGAAAGCCUAAGUCCUCGAUAGCAAGGCGGAGCUUUCUGCGAUGCAUGGGGCUAUUGACGCCCAAACCCAGCUCCAGAUCAUCAUCAGUCAGGCCCAGUAACACCUGCAACAGGAAGCAGAUCACAGUGACAUCAUCAGCACACAAACCAGACACAUCACAGUUUUAUAAGUUUAGUGCUGUGUGCAAAUGUCUGUUUGACUAUGUAAUCAUUAACCUGGUUAAUAUCAGGACACAUUGGAGGUAUCAGUGCACGAAUGUACAUGGGCAUUGCCAUGACAACUUCCAACCAGGCCUGAACAGUGACCGCCUUCCACAAAGACAUGGGCUUGGUGCGGGUAAGCUCCGCCUGCUGCAGCCGCUCCAGCUGCUCCUCACCGUCUGAUUGGCCAGGAUGCGUCUGGCUGGAGAGGCUGUCCGAGUCUGGAUUGGUCAGACAAGAUGAUCUAUGGAGCAUUCUCAAAACAUGCUGGGAUAACACGGAUCAUCCGGCUUCACACAAACAUGUUGAGUCCAUGCAACUGGGGGUGCAUGCUGUACGUCAUACAAGCAAAAGGGGGACAUACCAAAUCAAACAUUUGGCAUUUUUGUAUUUGAAACAGCACACCAGGUGUACAAAAACUUUAAAAAUACCUGUACUAAAAAAAAAGAAAAGAAAUGUGGUGUACUGUCAUCAGGGUUUGUAGGUGCAAAAGUAAUAACCUGUUGCUCACAGUAGUUCCACGUGUGUGCCAGCAGAUGGCGCCCUACACUUUCAUUAGACUCAAGCUGCUGCCUUGACUUCCUUGCAUCCAUGAAAAGCUGAAGUUUCAGGUGAAUUAAUAAGGAACUGGAUAUUUAUCUUCCUAAAUAUCCUAUGAAGCACCAAUGAAAUACGUUUAUUUAGUUUCAGACGGUUUAUUAGCCUUUAAAGUGUGCUUGGAAGAUAUAAAACAUGAUUUAAAUCACCAUAAAGGGUUAAAACGUAAUCAUCUUUCUUUAAAGGCUUCAUCAGAAUUUAAUUAGCUGAAAAAUUACCUCCAUAAAACUCAUUAUCUGAUGGGCAUUGGGGCAGACGACACUUAUUUUAGACACGGAUAGGAAUAGUCUCUUAGCUAAGUAAUGACAGACCCUUGACCUCAUUCGAGACGUCGAAGAACAUCCAGCAGCUCGUGGAAUAAAGCUAUUCAAUGGAGAUGUGCUUCAAUUUCAAAUAAUGAGAAUAAAGCUUUGGCUUUACUGAAGUAUGCAUCAUCUUUCAAAAGACUGGUAAAUUAAUAGGCCUACUCUUAUGAAAUACAUACUUUAUCGUUGUCUUUCCUCCAUAUUUUGUGAUUUUUAUUUAUUGUCAUACAGCAUCAUUAUUGGUCACUCUUUAUGUUUUAAAUAUUUAUCCAAUAAAAACAUUCAAACGUGCUCGUCAACAUUAUGUAAUCAUUUAAAAAUCCAGUGUUUUUUCUGUUUCUUGAAAAAGAGUAAAUUUGAAAUAAAGUUAAGCAUUUAGAAAUAUUAACAGUUACUGACAUCAAAAGAAUAAAAUUAAUUUCUGGGUCAUUAUCAAAUAAUGUAUUGGUACAUGACUAUUGCACAAAAGGUCAGAUAUCCUUGCUUCAUUUAAAGGGAUAGUUCACCCAAAAAUGAAAAUAAUUUUUGAAAAUAAUAGCGACCAUGUCGUUCCAAACUCGUAAGAACUCUGUUCAUCUUCAGAACACAUAUUUAGUCUGAGAGCUUGUUGACCCUUCAUUGAAAUUCUAUGUACGGUAUACUGUCCAUGUCCAGAAAGGUAAUAAAAACAUCAAAGUAGUCCAUGUGACAUCAGUGGGUCAGUUAGAAUGUGUUGAAGCAUCCAAAAUGCAUUUUCGUACAUUAAUGACUCACCCUCAUGUCGUUUCAAACUCGUAAGACCUCCGUUCAUCUUCGG